rnacentral:lncRNA from 1 species
UUCAGGCGUCAGCGCACCAGAAGAACCUAGACGUUGGUGCAAACAUUUUCAUUGGCAACCUGGACCCAGGUGGAUGAGAAGCUCCUCUACGACACCUUUUCGGCGUUUGGUGUAAUUCUUCAGACACCCAAGAUAAUGCUGGAUCCAGU